GGGGAUAUAGCUUAAUAGGUAAAGUACUAAUUUGUCGUAUUAGUUGAUAUCGAUUCGAAUUCGAUUAUUCCCG